rnacentral:lncRNA from 1 species
GUUCACACUGUUUAUUCGCUUCUCUGGGAAAGUCGGGAACACGGGGCCUCGUCACACAUCGAAAGCGUAGGGGCGGCAAGGGCACUUCAGCGGAGGCUCACAGCUCGAGGAAGGGGGCGGACUAGGGGGGGCCACGGCCACCGCGCAGGGGCACUUCCGAGAGGCCUCUCCCCCAGCCGCCCAGGGGCGGGGCUGAGACGGGGACCCAGGCUGCGGUCCAGGGCGGGCCCCCGCACCCACCCUAGGGAGGCGGGCGUGGCCUGGGUUCUGGGCACUACAGGCCCCGAGGGGGGGGCCUGCUCAUCACGGCCCACGCGGGAGAGGGUCUGCGAACGCUUGCGUGCGCCAACGGGCCUCUUGGGUGUGGCUGCAGCCAGGGAGACGUGCACAUCCGGGUGUCAGCCGCCCCUGGAAGGGGCGCCCUCGCCCCUUCCAGUGAUGGGGGGCAGGCACACAUCAGGCUGCGCAGCCAAUGGGGGGCUCCGGCUACCACCCGGGGAAGCUCCCCGCCCCGGGCCAGGUGACCCUCCCCACCACCUGGAACUCGCCAAGCCCAGCAGAGCUGGCGGGGGGCCUCGUCUCUGGGGUAGGGUUAGCAGGACCCAGGACCCCGGUUCAAGCAGGCUGGGGAAGGGGGCCAUGGCGCUCCCCCAGGCUCCCUGAAUUAGCACCAGGAGGAAGGAGGGCCCAGUGGGAUUGGGAGCUCAGGAACAGGGGCUCACAUGGCCCAGCCUCGCUCAGGAGGCAGCUCAAGACUCCCGGCCCAGCCCCGGGGGGGUAGGGGUGGGGGGGGUGUCACAACCCUCCCGCGUUGGGGGAGCGUCUCCAGGCUCCAUCAUCCACCGGCUGCGCUCAAAGAGGGCGUGGGGAGAGGGGCCCAUCAGGCGGGCGGGGGGUGGGUACCGAGGGGGGUCCCGACUGCAUUCCAAGACCUUGAGCCCCGCCCCUGGAGGCAAGCCUCUGCUCUGCUGCCUGAGAUACAGACCGGGGACCUCGGCCAGGGACCCCACCUCCGGGGCUACGGCCCCAGAACCCCUGGCUCUCAGGAUCCCCUCCGGCGGGGGACCCCUCAGGGACCUCAUUGGAGGUGGCAGGAAGGCACAGGCAGGAGGCCCAGAGGGUGGUGGGCUGGUUGGGG